GAAGGGUGCAAGCGUUGUUCGGAUUUAUUGGGCGUAAAGCGCGCGCAGGCGGAUAAUCAAGUCAGAUGUGAAAUCUCGGGGCUCAACCUCGAAACUGCGUCUGAAACUGUUUAUCUAGAAUCUUGGAGAGGGAGGUGGAAUUUCGCAUGUAGGGGUAAAAUCCGUAGAGAUGCGAAGGAACAUCGGAGGCGAAGGCGACCUCCUGGACAAGUAUUGACGCUGAGGCGCGAAAGCGUGGGGGGAGCAAACAGGAUUAGAUACCCUGGUAGUCCACGCCGUAAACGAUGAGAACUAGAUAUGGGUGACUUUGACCUCUUCCGUAUCGUAGCUAACGCAUUAAGUUCUCCGCCUGGGAGUACGGUCGCAAGACUA
rnacentral:rRNA from 1 species